ACCAACUUCCCAUACCAAACGACCACUAAAACCCUUAAGGCUUCGAACCAGGAUGUUUGUCUAGAAGUAUACAAAUAAUCGGAACUUAGAACACUAUGACUACACUAGGAUUGUUAUGGUGAAUCACAUCAAGCAAAAGGCCUACUAUCAAGUACCAACCAUGAUCACAAGUGUGAAAGCUAGCUUAGGAUGCUAAUCCAAGCAAAGCAAUUCCAGUCUCUUCAGCUCAGCAUAAGUUAACUUCUGCUUUUCCAUGAACUGGGGGAGCUUCACUCCGGCCUUCAUCUGCUUCCCUGCACGGAUUCACAAAAUGAGUUGGGGAUAGCACAAAUUACAGAUGGAUAAAAUAGAAGGUGAACCAGCUAAUAAAAGAGAUGCAGGCAACAUCAAGAGGAGAAGCCAUUGUUUUAGGUGAAUUGACCAUCUUGAACUCUGCUGAGAAACUAGCCAUAAUGCCAUGCAAAUUUUAAUUGUAUAGUCCAAGUCAUGAAUUGGGGUGUCAUAGUUCAGAAGCUGGUAAAUUAUAAGUUUGAAAAAAAGAGUCCAAAUACUGAAAGGCUAGAGCAUACUAGCCUAGAAGAUAAGUAUUUAGCAUGUCAUAUGAAUUAUGAAAUAAUGACGCCCAAUAACUUGUGUGCAGA